GAUGAAGAACGUAGCGAAACGCGAUAAGUAGUGUGAAUUGCAGAAUUCAGUGAAUCAUCGAAUCUUUGAACGCACAUUGCGCCCCUCGGUAUUCCGUGGGGCAUGCCUGUUCGAGCGUCAUUUACCCCCUCAAGCCUAGCUUGGUAUUGGGUGCUUGUCCCGCCUCUCGCGCGGCGACUCACCUCAAAGUCAUUGGCAGCCCGCAUCUCGCCGGCCGUGAGCGCAGCACAGACGCGCUCUUGGCAACGACGGAUCGGCUCUCCAAAAGCUUAUUUCAACCACUGACCUCGGAUCAGGUAGGGAUACCCGCUGAACUUAAGCAUAUCAAUAAGCGGAGGA
rnacentral:misc_RNA from 1 species